CAGUAUGAGGUGAGUGGCUGCAAUAUUAACCAAUCAGCAGAGGGGGCGACAUAUUUAAGCAGGCGUAGAGCCAGCUUUGGGAAGUUCAUCUGGUCGACAGGUCACCUGACUUCCGGCUGUUGCGGGUAUUAUCGCCACUGCGCGUGAAACAAGCUCUCACACCAAGACUGCUGUGGGAAAACUCACGUAUCGUGCCUGCCUCUCGCGCCGAGCCGACUUCUGGGUGUGGCAAACCCCCGUCAUUCGGGGGGAUUUAUCUGACGGCAUUUUUACGACACAGCCACCGCUUAGAGGACAGACAGCGGUCCGCGGUGGCGUGUGGAUCAGGAGCUUCACAGCCAUUCCCCACGCCGACAGACCGCUGCUCGGCUGAUUGAUGCUGCUUUGCUUAUUUUAAUUUGUUGGAUCCUUUUUAAGUUAUUGGGGACGCAUUUUAUUGUUUGCUGUUCCACUGGAAGCCUGGGACGAGGCCCGCAACGAAGACUGAUCUUGGCGGGUGGCUUCCUGUGUGGAUAUUUUAUAUUGCAACAGUUUUAUGUUUGUUUAUUUAUUGUCUUUUAUUUUGGCGUGCCCAAACUUCAUGG